GACAAGCGCUUCCGGGAGCAGGGGGCAGCGCGGGGCAGCCUGGGGCAGCGCUGUCACGUGGGGCGCGAGGCGGGCGCGCCUCGGGGGCGUCAUGUUGGAGCCGGGCGCGUGCAGUGCGCAGGCGCGCGGCCGCCAUGGCGGCGCCCCUUGGGGCUGGGGCCGCUGCUCGGGGAUGUGGUUAGGCGGCGGCCGCCAGGCUCCGGGGCACCUCGGUCUCACAAGCUGCACGGCUGGUCGGUGCGUUUUGCCAGCGUCGCAAGAAGCAGCGAAGAGAAAUGGUGUCCCAGCCGCUGGCGCGUCGCGUCGCAUAAGCACCCGGUAUUGGGUUGUGCGUUAGGUGACGCGGAGGUGGGAUUAAGCCGUGGAUAUUAAAUGGGGUUAACGUGGGCAGGGCCUUGUGACCUGCUCUGCCGUUUUCUAUUGUUGCUCCUCUUAUAAAAUCUCUGACUUGAAUACAUUUCCCCAGGAACUUUGUACUGGCGUUACAUCUCUUGUAUCAGGAUCUCAGCACAGUGGAAACAGGAGCUUCAUCUCCCGCAGAAAGGGCCAACUUCUGCCAGAGCAAGACAACAGCUCCCCACCAGCAUGGACCUGGGAAGAGCAGAGUUCCCUCCCUCACUGAGAAGUGAGCUACUGCCCAGCAGCAAUGUUUUGCUUCUGCUUUUUGCAACCUUCCACAACUAUUUUCAGUCUGACCCACGUCAAAUACUGGUUGAAACAGAUAGUAAACCCUAACGCACACACACACAGGGGUCAAAAUGAGCCAGUCUACAAGGAAAAGCUGUACUGGCCCUUCUCAAAACAUCAUCUCUUGCAGAAACAGAUCUGUAUAGGACCUGCAAAGUUUCUGUUUCAACCAGUGUGUUAUAUAUUUACAGGCACACACACACAUGCACACUUAUAUGAAUGCGUGCACAUGCGCUCUCCACAUUCCUAAAUGGGCUACUUUUCUUCCCAAAUUUCUUCAAUUCAGGCAGACACCACUCUAUAAAAAUCGUUGUAGACUUACUUUACCUCUGAAAGUCUGUUAAGUGCCCACACAGAGGAUCUAUUUCAGCUCACCGUAUAUCUGCAUUGAUCCAGGCUUUUCGUCAGCACCCAUGAGCUAACUUGUUUUUGUGAGCGUACUUCCAGGGGCAUGAGCCGAAGUUUGGUCUUAACUCAGUACAACUCUGCCAGAGGUGAAGUGUGUGUAUGUGACAAACGUGAAAAAGAAUGAAGCACCAAGUCAUUGCACAUUCACAACAGAAAUAUAUUGAGACGUUUUUGUUACAGUAUUUUCCUUAGAAGAAUGUUAUACUGCUUUAAAUCUGUUAAGGCUGUAUUGAUUACAAUCCUACUGUCCAUCAGCAUCAUCCAUCAUCAUCUUUGGGCCACCAGUAUGACGGUCAUGAAGGAACAAAACAAAGUUGACUGGCAGAAUGUUUCACAUCUGAUGAGUCUGUGCACAAUAAGAGUAUAAUAAAUCAUACUCUGGAGGAACUCAGCUAUCGCUUAAAUACCAAAGGAGAGAUACUGCCUCAGCAGAAAUUCCCAAAGCCAUCUGUCAUCUGUCAUUAGUUCUGUGUCUAUGGCUGAGCUGGACUGAGGGAAUGGAAAGCACCACGGACUAGUGGUGGGCUAGAUAGGCUCCUUGUAUCAUGCAAGGAGAUUUAAAGUGGACUGACAUCAAGAAUCCAGAAUUGCUCUAAAUGAGCUUAAAACUACAGAGGCAGUACGGGUUUGAUACAAUGUUAUUUAGCAGUGCAGGCUGCCAGAGAGACUUUUUCCACAUGAGCUUGUGUCUGACAUUCACUGAAAAGUGUUUAGCCAUAGUCUAUCUGUGGUGCAACAAUUUGGUGCGCUUACAUUUAGCAGAUGGCUAGGGCCCUCAGUAAUGAAUUAUCACAGCCUAAGGAUGAGCAGAAAAAGACAGCAAGGAGGGAUGAACCAGGCACCAACCCUAGUAUGAUGGGUUCAGACAUUCGUUCUGCUAGUUCCUCUGGGUGGCAUUAAGCUCCCAGCAUGCUGCUAGGUGGGCUGAAUCAUAGAUCCUGAAGAUGUCUAAAUACUCUUGGGGCUACUGGAUUUCUAUAGGCACUGGUGGACUUCUGAGGUCACCUAACCCAGGGCUGAGGAGACUGAAGCAGUUCUGAGGAUCUCCAAAGGAUGCCCAAGCAUGUUGCGGUUCACAGGCUGUUUGCCCUCUCUGUCCUAACCAUUUCAGCUGUGAAGCCUGAGCUGACCAGUGUCCCCAAGGGGGAUUAAUACCCAGAAAAAAAGGAAACAUAUGCACCAGGGAACACCUCUUUCUCUUGAAAUUCCAGGCUUACAGUACUCACCUGACACAUCAGACAUUUCUGAGACAGGUUUGCCUCAGAUCCACUUUCUUCCUGAUGCAGAGCAAAUGCUUGAGUUUGUGUCUUGUGAAUUGUGCCCAGCAGUCACUGGACUAUGUCUUACCCUCGGUAAUGGUAAGGAUCUGACCAUUACCUGCAGACUGAUUUCUCAGCUUGACCUCACACCUACCUCAUGACCAAGGACUUGCCUACUGCUCUGGACUCUUGGUUGAACCUGGCUGCCCUCUCUGGGCCUGCCCUGCUCACCUUGCUCAGGGAUGGGGGGGGUGGGGGUGGGGGGCGGUCAGGCUCUGGCCAGCGAGGGCUCUGCCUUGCCAGCUGAGUUACUGCACUUGACUCCCUGUCCCAUAGGGAACAGCCAGCAUCGCUGCUCUCUGAUGCUCUCUCCCAUCCUGGCCUGGCAUCCUGCUUUUUUUUCCUGAAUCUGUGGGUGGAAACUCACCCAAGGAAGAAUCUUGGCCUCACCUUCCUCUGUACCAGCAUCAAGGAGGUGGUGAGCAGCUUUCCACGGGCAAAGGGAAGGUUAUGCCCAUGUUUUCCACACCUCGUCCCCAUUCAAGGAGUAUUUCCACUCCAGGCUCUGUUGUGCCUCCAUUCCCUUGGUGGCCAGCAUGGUUGUGUCUGCGACACGAGGCGAUUAGUGCAGAUUCAGACGCAAGCCCCACAGGCUCACUAGGACCAGCAGUGCUGGGUGAUUGAGGGGGGGUUGGAUGUUUACAGCAUGGGAUGAGGACUGACACAGCUAGGUCUGUGCUUAGCUCAUGGUAUAGACACACUCAAAGCAGAGAAAUGAGGGCAAGUGAAAACUGAAGACUUUUACACUGACUGUAGCAGGAGGAACUGAUGAAAACUCAAAGACAUGAGACACAUCACUCUUGAGAUGAGAUGAUGAGUGCAUCAGUCUUUGUGGUCACAUACCUAACUGGGCAAGUUCAUAAGCUCCUAACAUCUCAGCACAAAGUCAGAGGUGGACCUUAAUUCAAUCCAGGCUGGGAGAUUUUAGGAGGAACCAGGCAGAAACAAUACAUUGGGCUGGAAAUUGUUUAAAUGGCACAGGAUGCUCCUGCGAAUGUAUUAGCACUUCAAAUACUGUAGUCAAAAGCUUUCCUUGCUGUCUUUGUAGCAUAUGACAUUUUUCUUCUAUAGGAAAUAAAAGACAUGUCUGGAGAAAGGAACUGCAGUACCAAUCCAUCCACUCUAGCAGUAGAGGGAAUCCAUUUUUCUCCUGGCAGAAGGAAAUUAUAAUUAGAUAUCAACAGAGGUACCUGAGGGACCUGCAGCCCCAUCCCAAGCCUGCCUCUCUCAGCCCAGAAAUGCCAUCUCUCACCUCUUUCUUGUUGCUAUGGGGCAAGAGGGGGUCCCAGUGACGGCCCCACAUCCCGGCCUGACCUACUGCGCUCUGGCUUCCUGUGGGAGGGAAGAGCCCUGGCAGGCAAAGCUUUAAAGCAGGGCUGCUUUAACCAGCAGCAGCCACACAGCAAGGAUGGCUGCUUUCCUGCUCUCUGCCACCGCACAGGCAUGAGGCCGACUAAAUCGGCUCGAGGCUCCUCUCCCCGCCAUCCAGGUCUGGAUUGCAAGCUACUGGAUUGCACCUACUCCAUUGCCCCCCAGCCUGCUUUGCCACCCCUCUCCAGCAGCCUUAAGGUCAAUUUGCUUCAGACAGUUGGGAAGGGUAUUUUCGUCACAAAGUGGGUGGGUGAUCUCCACUACUCACUUCUGUCCAUAAUGGGGUCGCUGCAGCAUUAGAGCCACAUUUUAAAACCCUUAGCAGCCUCUCUUCGUCCCGCAGCAAGAACUGAUCAUGCAUUUCUCACUGGCAGUCCGUGCAGCCCCAGCUGCUACACAACAGGGGUGGCUGGGCGUGCACUGCUUGCCCUCCUCUUUCAUCCUCAUACCUUAACCACACUGUUAUUCAGCCCGUAUUUACUUCAACAGCAGCAAGACCCAGGAAUGACUACAGCACAUAAACACAUCCCCUAGCUGGAGCAAGGAACAGAUGACCGGACUGGUUUUUGUGUUUUUUUUUUUUAAUAUACAUGUAAAGGCAACUCCACAGUUUGUUAAGGUAAAAAAUUGGGAAGGGCAGGGGGAUCUUUGCUGUUUUGGGGCAGAGGUUGUAUCAGCUGGACAACCCAUGACAGAAGGGAUCACAGGAGCCUUAUUCCAAAUUUGCCUGUGGUCUAAUAGGCACAGAAAUGCCUGGCACAGGGGAGAAGGAUGUUCACGCCUGUGAUGAAGCAGCAAUGCCCUCAGCCUAGCGUCCCCCACACGAAGGAGAGCGCUCCUGCCCAGCCUGCUGGAGAAACAGCACGGCCGGCUCCUGCCCCGGCUGGGAUCUAGGCAGUUGCUGAGUCCAGCUGUCUCGCGUUACAUCAGCCCUGGUCAUAAACUGAUCGAGCUUCCUCUUUACUAGCAGCUGAUUUUCCAGGAGUUGGACUACAGCACAAGGACAACACUUCACCAUUGCCAAUGCCAAACUCAGAAUCAACUAUGGAAUUAAGCAAGCCAACAGACAACUAUAGUGAGGGUUUCUUCCGUUCUCAUUUUCAAGCCUUCUGAGAGCCUUUAUUUCAUAUUCUCAAGCUUGUCUCGGACUGCAAACUCAUUUUGUUAAAUAGAAUAUUGUAACCAUUUUUAAAUUGUUUUUGAUGGACUGGGCCCAAAGAUUGGUGCCUGUAUUCUAAGAUGCAGUACUGCUUUGCAGCAGAGUUUAAUUGGGGUGCCAUUUUUGCUUUUGAACUUAUUGUAAUUAUGAACAGAUUUUUUUUUUCAUAUGUCCCCUGGUUUCUCCCUUCGAAAGAAAAUCUCGUGUUUAAUGAACUUAAUUUUAGAUAAAAGGAAUUAAAAGAAGAAAAUUAAAAAUG